UACGUAGGGUGCGAGCGUUGUCCGGAAUUAUUGGGCGUAAAGAGCUCGUAGGCGGUCUGUCGCGUCGGCUGUGAAAACCCGGAGCUCAACUCCGGGCCUGCAGUCGAUACGGGCAGACUGGAGUUCGGCAGGGGAGACUGGAAUUCCUGGUGUAGCGGUGAAAUGCGCAGAGUAUCAGGAGGAACACCGGUGGCGAAGGCGGGUCUCUGGGCCGAUGACUGACGC
rnacentral:rRNA from 1 species